rnacentral:rRNA from 1 species
AGAACGAACGCUGGCGGCAUGCCUAACACAUGCAAGUCGAACGAGACCUUCGGGUCUAGUGGCGCACGGGUGCGUAACGCGUGGGAAUCUGCCCUUGGGUUCGGGAUAACAGUUGGAAACGACUGCUAAUACCGGAUAAUGACUUCGGUCCAAAGAUUUAUCGCCCAGGGAUGAGCCCGCGUAGGAUUAGCUAGUUGGUGAGGUAAAGGCUCACCAAGGCGACGAUCCUUAGCUGGUCUGAGAGGAUGAUCAGCCACACUGGGACUGAGACACGGCCCAGACUCCUACGGGAGCAGCAGUGGGGAAUAUUGGACAAGUGGGACGAAAGCCUGAUCCAGCAAUGCCGCGUGAGUGAUGAAGGCUUAGGUGUAAAGCUCUUUACCGGGAUGAUAACGACAGUACCGGAGAAGUACGCCCGACUAACGUCCGUGACC